GAAGACGUGUUUUAUCGGAUCCGAGAACAAAUAGGAUUCUUUUACCCGCAGAAUAUGGUACGCUCCGCAGGAGGGCGAAACAAGGAGGAGGGGCUCUUCACGUGACUGGAAUUCGGAAUCACGUGAUUCUGAAGGUUCCCCUGCCGGCUCUCCAGCUUAGCCAACUGAACUAGAAGAUCAUCUUCAGACCAUUUGUCAGAGGUUCCACCUUUCUCACCAGUGGUCUCAGGAAGGCAGAUGAUACCAUCCCCUUCUACCCAGCGGUAACAGGGGAAUACUAUUUCCUUCUCUUCCAUGCUCUGUUCAAAGACCCAAACAGUUAUAUGGUUGCAGAACCAUGCAUCCUUUAUCAGAAGAUGAAUUUUACGAAGCUUCACAAACUGGAGGGGACCCAGGUCUUCUGAGACAUCAACUUCAAAAUCCUCCAUCUACAGCGUGGGUAGAAGGAAAGUUCUCUUCACAGCCUUAUCCCCUUCACUGACCUGUCCUCGAGCUGGCCGUAGCCGAAGCCCCAGUUCCACCUCUGCACGGAGCCCUACCAACCACAGCUGCACCUGGUUGUUGGACCCUGAGAAAGCAGAGUUUCCAGUGGCCACUCGGACCCGGUAGCGACCCAUCUGUCUUGGAGACUCUGGCUGCUGUGAGAAGAGUAACGGGAAAGUUGCUCCGAGCCCUCUCACUGCUGUCCAGUGAUUCUCCAAGGCACAGACUCAAGCCUUUUAGUGAAGAAGCCCUUCCCAUACCCGCCUAUGUACCUACAGCUGUCCCCACCCUUCUCAAAAUGUUGGUGCUUCCACUUUCCCCACCCGGAAGAUGGGCCUGGACCUGCCCUGGAAAAUGGGCGGGGAAGGGGGAAUGUCUGGGGUUUCUUUUUAAGGUGAUUAGGACUCCUAGUAUAGGAAAUAAAAGGGCUUGGUUAUCAGAAACAGGAAACUUGCCUUUUUUUUGGUUGGGGGCUCCCCACACUGUCCCUUCCUGAAUCCUAAAUAGCUUAAGUCUGACAAAGUGACUUUUCUUAAGUUUUUGUUGUAUUUGGUUUUGUUUUAAAGAUGGUUUUCAGAGUAGGACAUGAUUUCUGUGUUCUCUUCCAGUUUAUACAGUCCAUGUUUUAUGACAUGACUCUCAUUUCUAGAGUUUUAAAUUUUUCCCAAGUGCUUUCCUCAUACUCCUCCCAUAAUUAGUAGAAUCCUCGUUUUACAGAAGAGUCAACUGAAAUCCAGAGAGCCUAAAUGACUUGUCUAAAAUCACACAGCUAGUGUCAGUAUUCGUACUCAUGUUUAUUUCAGUGCAACAAAAGCAUUAUUUAUCUGUCCCUUGCUUCCAACAUAGAAGUUGUUGUUGUUGUUGUUUUUUAAAAGAGGGCUCUGAGAAUACUUAGGUAAGGGACUUGAGGUGUGGAACUUUGAGGGGAAUUCUAGUGAGCUGAAGAAAGAGUGUUUGAAAAGGGGCAGGGCAGGCUCAGAUGGUAACACUGUUCUCCACUGGGCUUGGCUGUAGGAAUUCAUAGGCCAGAUUUUACUGAACAUUCUUUUCUAUGAUCUUUUUUUCAGGGAGUCCAGAUCUUCCCUCAAACAGCUCAGCAUAGCCAGCUUCCCAGAUCCUGAAAAAAUACUCUUUGUGCUGUCCCAGGGAAACCUAACAAUAGAACAAGCAUAUCACUCCCAAAAGACUAGCAAAGAAGUUCCCUAGUAUCCCUUAAUGGGAUCUUAGAUUUAGAACUGGAAGGAACCUUAAGCUUCUUUCUGGGCUAGCUCCCUGCCUCUCCACCACUCAGAGGUCUAGCCAGUUCCUCCCCAUUUCUUAGGAAAAACUUAGACUCAGAGAAGGAACUUGUUCAAGAUCACAAAAGUACUGUCAGAAUUGAGCCCAGAUCUCAUUCCAAAUCUAUCUUUUUUCAGUAUCAGAUACUAUGCUAAACACUAAAAUGUACAAAAAGCCAAAAGAGUCAAGUCCAGGAGCUCAUAAUCUAAUGGGAAAACAAAAGGCAAACCAAUAUGUACAUGCCAAGCCUGUAUAGGAUAAAUAGGAUAUAAUUAACAGACUGAAAGUACUAAGAUUAAAGAGUGGUUGGGAAGGAUUUCCUGUAGAAGAUAGCAUUUUGGUGGAGACAUAAAGGAAUCCAGAAGAUGAGAAAGGAGAGCAUUUUAGGCCUGAGGGACUGCCAGAGAAAAGCCUGGAGCUUAGAGAUAGAGUACGGUAUCUUGUCCAUGAAAUAUUUAGCAAGGAGGUCACUGAAUAAAAGUUAUGUGGUGGAGAGCAUAGUGUAACAAGACUGGAAAUGUGGGAGGGAGAAGACCUAAUUUAAGGUUUUCUUUGCCAAACAAGAUUUUACUUUUGAGCCUGGAGAUAAUAAAGAGUGAGGGUAGAUAGUGACAGUCGAAUGUGAACUUAAGGAACAUCACUUUAGCUGCUUAGAGGAUUGAAUGGAGUAGGGAAAGACAUUUGUCUUCCACUCUUUAUCCAAGGUUUGACCCUCAGUUUUAACUGCCCACCCCCUCACUAUGGCUGAACUUGACUCAGGAUCUAAUGGGAUGCCUAGUGAAUAGUUGUCACCAUUUUCUUUGUGCUGAAUGAAGGCAUAUGCAUGCACCAUUGGAUACCCAGGCAUACUAGUUCAGUUGGAAGGAAAAAACAAAAAAGAAAAACCUCAAGUUACUCAGAACCAAACACAGUGUCUCAGUUUCACUGACUUUCUACUUCAAUCUAUGAGCAGGUCCGUCUCCCAGCUUGAUUUAAUGACACUAAUACAAGUGAAGAUGCACAAAGUCUAAAAUAAUAGAGCUCCAUUCCUGGAAUCCAGGAAUAGAAAGUAUAGACAGUAAGAGGAGACUGGAUGGGGUUGUGGUAGACACAUAGACAGCAAUCUGUUGAAAUUUUGGGGGUUUGGAGGAAGCUCUGAAGACAUGAUGUAGAGGUAUAGUUUAGGAAAAUAUUUGGCAGGUGUUCUUUUUAAAAAUUAAUUUUAUUUUUAAUUUAGUGAAUAAAACA